rnacentral:lncRNA from 1 species
ACACAUUUCACUAUAAUAAUAAUAAUAAAACCCCUUAAUAUUUGUCUGCUGAUUGCUUCCCCUGUUCUGAAGCAAGUUGAUGGCAGCAAAUGCAAAGUGCCUGGUAGGGUAGUUAAGAUUUUAUAGACUGUAAUCUUUUGUUUGGAAACAAGGCAACAGUUUACAUCGGUGACCUUAAAAAGGGGUUACGUUAAAUGCCAGCUGGUCCCAGAUUGGCUCGGCUCUUUGGAAGCAAACAUUUUCCAGAGAGCUUUGUGUAGCAACAGGGCCUUUAUUUUUAAUUCUUGAAAUCAGUAUUAUCUGGUGCUGGUGGUUUUGACUUUGGAACAGUGAAAGCAUGAUCCUUUCCUUGUGAUUUAUGUUCUCCGCUUGGAUAGGAAAGCUGCCAGAAAGUUCGUUUUAUUGUAUUUGCAUUCCCAUUGAUUGAGUCCUUUUGGCCGUUUUUCCUCCCAAGUGCAAUUGUUCAUAAGUGAAUGAUUGUUAUUGUUAACAGUUCUAUAGGCUAUCGGACCUACAAUGACUUCUCCUCCUUUUUUAGCAGCAUAGUCAUUUGGCACCGGAGAGAAAGACAGAGAGAAAUCCUAGGAUUAGUUUAAUGAAGAUGACAUUGUCAUGAUCUUAAUUGGACAUAAACAGUAGGGAGUCAUUGCUGUAGGCAGGAAAGUGGGUACAGAUAAAAAAACGAAGGCACCUACGUGGACUCAGUGAUUUGGAAAAGAUAAAAAAAGAAUAGCUCUUGUGUUUCAGUGUCUGGGCAAAAAAUUAUCCUCAGCAUGAGCUGGUGAGAUCUUAAUUGAAGCCUGAACUUGACUAGAAGCUUGCGAGAUGGUGUAAUUUGAUGCAGCUGCGCAAUCCUUAUACAGGUGCUAAAACAACAGGGAUUAUGUUAGUCUCCAACUUAGAUAUUUUGCCAGAAAUCAGACAGCUGCUCUUGUUGCUGGGAAUUGGCAUAUAGAUAUAUAUUUUGGUAAUUAGAAGCUUGCUAAUUACAGUGGAGCUCCAGCUAGAUGAGAACCUGCCUGGCAGGUGUGAUGCUAUAACCCAGUCUUUAUGUGGGGCUUGCCUGGGUUGCAGGCAGCAGGUAGGAUGCACCUGAAUGACACAGAGUGAAGCAAAAAGUGUUUCUUCCCCCAGUAUCUGAGUGGUUGGGCGUGUGUUAAAAUGCAAAUGGCAGAGGCCAAGUGCUGCUUCCCAGAUGACACUGGAACUUGAAGCAAAGACAGAGUCAGUUUCUCAGCUGGUGUAAAUCAGUCAGCUCUGGUGGCUACACCAGUUUACAUCAGCUAAUGAUCUGACCCACAACAGUUUGUUCAAGGAAAUAAGAAUAAUUUUGGUUUGAUGAUUUGUCCCGCAAAACAUGCUACAAGAGAUUUUGCCCGUGGAAAGAAAACUCAUGGCGAGCCCAGGAAAAGCUGUAAAGUUUUUUUUUAGUUGAUCAUUUUAUACCAUUUAGGAUUUUUUAUUUUAAAAAACUCCCUGAUGAAAUAGUCAUUGCAACGUAGAGAAGUGUCUUUAAGUCUUUAAUGUAAAACCCAGAAGGAGUUAGCAGUGACACACCAAGCUUCUGGUUUGAGGGCUAUGCUGGGUAAUUAACCA